rnacentral:rRNA from 1 species
UACUCCUACGGGAGGCAGCAGUGGGGAAUUUUCCGCUAUGGGCGAAAGCCUGACGGAGCAAUGCCGCGUGAAGGUAGAAGGCCUACGGGUCAUGAACUUCUUUUCCCGGAGAAGAAGCAAUGACGGUAUCUGAGGAAUAAGCAUCGGCCAACUCUGUGCCAGCAGCCGCGGUAAU